CCUACGGGAGGCAGCAGUGGGGGAUAUUGCACAAUGGGGGAAACCCUGAUGCAGCGACGCCGCGUGGGGGAAGAAGGGCUUCGGGGUGUAAAGCCCUGUCAGCAGGGAAGAAAAUGACGGUACCUGAAGAAGAAGCCCAGGCUAAAUACGUGCCAGCAGCCGCGGUAAUACGUAGGGGGCAGGCGUUAUCCGGAUUUACUGGGUGUAAAGGGGGCGCAGACGGCGAUGCAAGCCAGGAGUGAAAGCCCGGGGCCCAACCCCGGGACUGCUCUUGCAACUGCGUGGCUUGAGUGCAGGAGGGGCAGGCGGAAUUCCUGGUGUAGCGGUGAAAUGCGUAGAUAUCAGGAGGAACACCGGUGGCGAAGGCGGCUUGCUGGACUGCAACUGACGCUGAGGCACGAAAGUGUGGGGAGCAAACAGGAUUAGAUACCCCAGUAGUC
rnacentral:rRNA from 1 species